ACGACAUUAGCUCAGCUGGUAGAGCGCGACCUUGCCAAGGUCGAGGUCACGAGUUCGAACCUCGUAUGUCGCUCCA
rnacentral:tRNA from 1 species